GAUGAACGCUAGCGGCAGGCCUAACACAUGCAAGUCGAGGGGUAGAACACUUCGGUGUUUGAGACCGGCGCACGGGUGCGUAACGCGUAUGCAAUCUACCUUGUACAGGGGAAUAGCCCAGAGAAAUUUGGAUUAAUGCCCCAUAGUAUAUAACCUUCGCAUGUUGGUUAUAUUAAAAGUUCCAACGGUACAAGAUGAGCAUGCGUCCCAUUAGUUAGUUGGUAAGGUAACGGCUUACCAAGACGAUGAUGGGUAGGGGUCCUGAGAGGGAGAUCCCCCACACUGGUACUGAGACACGGACCAGACUCCUACGGGAGGCAGCAGUGAGGAAUAUUGGUCAAUGGUCGCAAGACUGAACCAGCCAUGCCGCGUGCAGGAAGACGGUCCUAUGGAUUGUAAACUGCUUUUAUACAGGAAGAAACCCUCCCACGUGUGGGAGCUUGACGGUACUGUAGGAAUAAGGAUCGGCUAACUCCGUG
rnacentral:rRNA from 1 species